rnacentral:rRNA from 1 species
AUACGGAGGGUGCAAGCGUUACUCGGAAUCACUGGGCGUAAAGCGCGCGCAGGCGGGCUGAUAAGUUGGAUGUGAAAGCCUACGGCUCAACCGUAGAACUGCAUCCAAAACUGUCAGUCUAGAGUCUGGGAGGGGAAGAUGGAAUUAGUUGUGUAGGGGUAAAAUCCGUAGAGAUAACUAGGAAUACCAAAAGCGAAGGCGAUCUUCUGGAACUGUACUGACGCUGAGGCGCGAAAGCGUGGGGAGCAAACAGGAUUAGAAACCCUAGUAGUCC